AUAUGAUCAAAGCUAUUUGCUGAAACUAUGAGAUUUAUCUUUAAAUCGAUAGAGGAGCGUUCUAUUUAUAUUUAAAAAGCAAAAAUGUAAAUUUUUGUAUAAAGAUAAAAAUAGAAGAGAGAAUGUCAGUUUAAGUAGCAUAAAUAUUAGUAAAAUCUAAUACUCCGAAAGCUAAAAGGUUUUUUACGAAAGGAUAUACCACGUUAAUAAAGUCGAGGACUAAAAUUAGAUUUAUAUAUGUAAUUGAUGUUUAAAAGGUUAAAUUUCCUUUACCAUACUAUUAUAACAAAUAGUGACUUAUAAUUAUAUAUAUAUUUAAGCUAUAAUUUCUUAUUAUAUAUAUAUAAUUACAACUAGAAAAAUGUAUCUGUUAUACAUAUUAUUAUGCUUGUACUAAAACUGACACAAGUAAGCAAGUAUAAAUGUACUAAGGAGUACGAAAUAACUUUCUCUAAGGAACUCGGCAAAAUAAUCCUGUAACUUCGGGAAAAAGGAUGCCCAAAGGGCUGCAAUGAAAAGAUCCAAGCGACUGUUUAUCAAAAACACAAGUCUCCGCUAAGUGUAAUUACAAUGUAAGGGGACUGACACCUGCCCAGUGCUGGUAAGUUAAAAAUAAUAUAUAUAAUAUUAUAUUAUUAUUAUAAGCUCCAGUAAACGGCGGCUGUAACUAUAACGGUCCAAAGGUAGCGAAAUUCCUUGUCGGGUAAGUUCCGACCUGCACGAAAGGUGUAACGACUUGGAUGCUGUCUUGGAGAAAGAUUCGGUGAAAUAGAAAUGUCUGUGAAGAUACGGACUAUUUACACCUGGACAGAAAGACCCUAUGAAGCUUUACUAUAUUUUGAAAUUAAAAAUAAUUUAUAUUUGUGUAGAAUAAGUGGGAAACUAAUUAAUUUGUUUUUUCUGAACCACCACUCUAAUAUAUUCUAUUUUUUCUACUACAAUAUUGUUAACCAAUUUUAAGUAAAUUUUACAAAGGUUGUUCGAUUGGGGCGGUAGCCUCCUAAAAAGUAACGGAGGUGUACACAGGUCUUUUUUUAAUUUAAAAAUUUUUUAAAUUAAAAACAUAAAGGUAUAAAAAAGGCUUGAUUGCAAGAAUUACUAUUUGAGCAAGGACGAAAGUCGGUCUUAAUGAUCCCGACAAUUUCGUUGUGGAAAGCUGUAA
rnacentral:rRNA from 1 species